rnacentral:rRNA from 1 species
GACGAACGCUGGCGGCGUGCCUAACACAUGCAAGUCGAGCGGAAAUAAUUGAAAGCUUGCUUUUGGUUAUUUUAGCGGCGGACGGGUGAGUAACGCGUGCGCAACCUGCCUGUUACAGGGGGAUAACACAGGGAAACUUGUGCUAAUACCGCAUAACACAGCGAGGUAGCAUUACCUUGUUGUCAAAGGAGAAAUCCGGUGACAGAUGGGCCCGCGUCCAAUUAGCUAGUUGGUGAUGUAACGGACCACCAAGGCGACGAUUGGUAGCCGAACUGAGAGGUUGAUCGGCCACAUUGGGACUGAGACACGGCCCAGACUCCUACGGGAGGCAGCAGUGGGGAAUAUUGCACAAUGGGGGAAACCCUGAUGCAGCAACGCCGCGUGAAGGAUGAAGGUUUUCGGAUUGUAAACUUCUUUAGUCAGGGUCGAAAAAAAUGACGGUACCUGAAGAAUAAGCCACGGCUAACUACGUGCCAGCAGCCGCAGUAA